AGUGAACGCUGGCGGUAGGCCUAACACAUGCAAGUCGAACGGCAGCACAGUAAGAGCUUGCUCUUACGGGUGGCGAGUGGCGGACGGGUGAGGAAUACAUCGGAAUCUACUUUUUCGUGGGGGAUAACGUAGGGAAACUUACGCUAAUACCGCAUACGACCUACGGGUGAAAGCAGGGGAUCUUCGGACCUUGCGCGAUUGAAUGAGCCGAUGUCGGAUUGGCUAGUCGGCGGGGUAAAGGCCCACCAAGGCGACGAUCCGUAGCUGGUCUGAGAGGAUGAUCAGCCACACUGGAACUGAGACACGGUCCAGACUCCUACGGGAGGCAGCAGUGGGGAAUAUUGGACAAUGGGCGCAAGCCUGAUCCAGCCAUACCGCGUGGGUGAAGAAGGCCUUCGGGUUGUAAAGCCCUUUUGUUGGGAAAGAAAAGCAGCAGGUUAAUACCCCGCUGUUCUGACGGUACCCAAAGAAUAAGCACCGGCUAACUUCGU
rnacentral:rRNA from 1 species